rnacentral:tRNA from 1 species
GCCCUCAUAACUCAAUUAGGUAGAGUAUUCGGCCUUUAACCGAAAAGUUGGGCGUUCGAUCCGCUCUGGGGGCA